rnacentral:rRNA from 1 species
UUGCCUACGGGGGGCUGCAGUGGGGAAUAUUGGACAAUGGGGGCAACCCUGAUCCAGCAAUGCCGCGUGAGUGAUGAAGGCCUUCGGGUUGUAAAGCUCUUUUGCCAGGGACGAUGAUGACGGUACCUGGAGAAUAAGCCCCGGCUAACUUCGUGCCAGCAGCCGCGGUAAUACGAAGGGGGCAAGCGUUGUUCGGAAUUACUGGGCGUAAAGGGCGCGUAGGCGGCUUAUCAAGUCAGGCGUGAAAUUCCCGGGCUCAACCUGGGGGCUGCGCUUGAUACUGAUGAGCUUGAAUGCGGGAGAGGAUAGUGGAAUUCCCAGUGUAGAGGUGAAAUUCGUAGAUAUUGGGAAGAACACCGGUGGCGAAGGCGGCUAUCUGGCCCGUAAUUGACGCUGAGGCGCGAAAGCGUGGGGAGCAAACAGGAUUAGAUACCCCGGUAGUCUUG